GACGAACCGUACGAACGUUAUUCGGAAUCACUGGGCUUAAAGGGUGCGUAGGCGGCGCAGCAAGUUGGGUGUGAAAUCCCUCGGCUCAACCGAGGAACUGCGCCCAAAACUACUGUGCUCGAGGGAGACAGAGGUGAGCGGAACUUAGGGUGGAGCGGUGAAAUGCGUUGAUAUCCUAAGGAACACCGGUGGCGAAAGCGGCUCACUGGGUCUCUUCUGACGCUGAGGCACGAAAGCUAGGGUAGCGAACGGG
rnacentral:rRNA from 1 species